GGAGGGUUGGCAGAACGGCUAAUGCACCGCUUUCGAAAAGCGGCGUCCGUAAGGACUUGCAGGUUCAAAUCCUGUGCCCUCCG
rnacentral:tRNA from 1 species